rnacentral:rRNA from 1 species
UGGUUGAUCCCGCCAGUAGUCAUAUGCUUGUCUUAAAGAUUAAGCCAUGCAUGUCUAAGUAUAAGCUUUUAUAUGGUGAAACUGCGAAUGGCUCAUUAAAACAGUUAUAGUUUAUUUGAUGUUUGUUUCUACAUGGAUAACCGUGCUAAUUGUAGGGCUAAUACAUGCUCGGGCUGUUUACAGUUGCGUUUAUUAGACCUAAAACCUCCCCGCUUUUGCGGUGUUUCGGUGAUUCAUAAUAAAUUAGCGAAUCGCAUGGCUUUGCCGGCGAUGUAUCAUUCAAGUUUCUGACCUAUCAGCUUUGGACGGUAGGGUAUUGGCCUACCGGGGCAACGACGGGUAACGGGGAAUUAGGGUUCGAUUCCGGAGAGGGAGCCUGAGAAACGGCUACCACAUCUAAGGAAG